CGAAACAUGUUUCACUGUACCCAGACAGCUUUUUCAAUCGGUAAUAUAGUAACUAUAUUACCGUAACUAUAUUACCGAUUGAAAAAGCUGUCUGGGUACAGUGAAACAUG